rnacentral:rRNA from 1 species
UACAGAGGUCUCAAGCGUUGUUCGGAUUCAUUGGGCGUAAAGGGUGCGUAGGCGGCGCGGUAAGUCGGGUGUGAAAUCUCGGAGCUUAACUCCGAAACUGCAUUCGAUACUGCCGUGCUUGAGGACUGGAGAGGAGACUGGAAUUUACGGUGUAGCGGUGAAAUGCGCAGAUAUCAGGAGGAACACCUAUUGCGAAGGCAGCUCGCUGGGACGUUACUGACGCUGAGACGCGAAAGCGUGGGGAGCAAACAGG